rnacentral:tRNA from 1 species
GGCUUAGCCGAAUGGUCACGAUAUCCGCUUUGUAAGCGGAAGAUAAUGGGUUUGAUUUCCAUCUGAUCCA